rnacentral:rRNA from 1 species
AAUCAACGCUGGCGGCGCGCUUAACACAUGCAAGUCGAGCGAGAAAGGGGAGCAAUCCCUGAGUACAGCGGCGUACGGGUGAGUAACACGUGGGUGAUCUACCUUCUAGUGUGGAAUAACCCUGGGAAACCGGGGCUAAUACCGCAUAAGCCUGUGAAGGGAAAGCAGCAAUGCGCUGGAAGAGGAGCCCGCGGCCGAUUAGCUAGUUGGUGAGGUAACGGCCCACCAAGGCGAUGAUCGGUAGCCGGCCUGAGAGGGCACACGGCCACACUGGCACUGAAACACGGGCCAGACUCCUACGGGAGGCAGCAGUGGGGAAUCUUGCACAAUGGAGGCAACUCUGAUGCAGCGACGCCGCGUGAGCGAUGAAG